GAGAGAGAGAGAGAGAGGAAAUAAAAAUCUGCUUUUAACUCCAUAAUAACGGACAAUGCUUCAGUCUAUAGUUCUUUGUGGAACAAACUAUGGAAAAAAUAAGUUAUUGAACUUGUAAGUAAAAGGGUGUUUAGACCUUUCCUUUGCUUUAUGCUGGGAGGAAAAACUGUUUUUCUAUCAGGCAUUUCACUUAAUCAUAAAAACUGUCAUAUCCCUGUAACAAGGUUCU
rnacentral:misc_RNA from 1 species